CAUGUAUCGUCAUAGUCCGUUUGGGACCGCAUACAAAUUCGGACGUGUUCGCCCGUUACUCAUAUUUUUGUACCCGUCGAUUGCAUCACAAUCGGCAACGUAGUUGUUCUCGUGCACAGACUUUGCUUUCUUAACAUUGAUUUUGCUUUCUUACAUGAAUUUUGUUAUUUGACAUUUGUCGAACACAUUAUUGAUUUGCGAAGGAUGGCCGUAUCGUUACUAGUUCUGUGGCGUGGAAACGAGUGCCAAUAACCAUAAGAAGAAGAAAAGUUUGCUGUAAACCCUGGCACGUUGUGCAAUUGAGAAAGCUCGUCCCAGUACCUGGCCAGCAGCAAUUCGACGGGAUUGGUGAAGGAAUUUUCGAGGCCGACGCUGCCCGUCAUCAGGAACAUCAUCAAGAGCUAACUCUACUUGUUCAGCAAGUUCAUAGUGGUUCACAGACAGCAGGAGCAAGAAAAGCAGCUUGUAGUUCUCGAAGAGCAAACAGCAUAUAUUGAUGUUUUUAUAGGAAAUUGUAAAAUUUUAAGUAUUAAAUGAAGAAAGAUAAAAUAUUUUGGUCAAU
rnacentral:lncRNA from 13 species